CACGCCCAUAACUUAAUAAGAACAUAAUGCCCACCCCAAGCAAUUCUCAGCAUGAAAAGAUAUCCCGGAAGCUAAAGAAAAGAAUAAGAAGCAAUCAACCGAGUUUCUGCUUCUCCAAAAUCCAUUUUCNGAAUACAUUCUACAUCAAACUUAAGAUACAACUGCUUCGAUUUCUCGUAUCCCAUCAGCGCAUAUUUAUCAAUAAUACCUUGGAACCUCUCAUAGAGUGCUGGAAUUGUAAGUAUGAUAAGAAGACUGGU
rnacentral:misc_RNA from 1 species